AUUGUAGAAAGGUCACUUUAUUAAAAUUAUAUAUUUUAAUCCUUAUAAGGUGACCUUUCUACAUUAUAAGGAUUUCUAGCUUUCAUUUUAUGUGAAAUUUAAACUAAGUUUCAAAACUUUGAAAAUAAAAUGAUAGAAAAAAAUUAUCAAAAAUUAUUUAAAUUACAAUAAUGAAAUGAUCUAUCAGCAAUCAUGUUGCAAAACUAGCUACCCUAAUUAAUUAGCAUGCUAAUACAGUAUUUCAAAAUGCAGAACUUUUACAAAAAAUUCUUGCCACAUAAUCAGACAUUUAGUUCAGAAACUUGUGAUAAGUUACUACUUAUUGCUCUAAUCUAUAUUUUUUAUAAUAUGCAUUACACAACAUAAUUGUGUAAUGCAUAUUACACAAUUAUGUUAUUAUUACACAAUUGUGUUCCACAUUAUAUUUUUAUUAAUUUUUCUUUCUCUGGUAUCCCACUCAUUACACUAGAAUGAUGACUAUACUGUCAAAAUUUGAAAAGUUAAAGACCUGACACCAAAAACAGUUUUGAUAGUGUUGUUCCAGCAAGAUGAAUGAUAUUUAGACACACAUAUGUCAUAUUGAUGACUCUAGCUGAGAAAUUGAAAAACCAUGAAUAAAUGUGUUUGGGAUCCAGAAACGAAAGAAGAAUAGUGCAAAAAAAUAACAGUUAAACUAUAUAUAUUAUUUAAUAACAUAGAGUUUUAUUGAUGUAUAUAAUAAUGAAAAUAAUUGCAAUAUAAAUUGAAGAUAAUAUACAUAAAAUAAAACUAGAGAAACUGUGACUAAAAAUCUAAUCUAAAUGGGGACUAUUAGUUUGUCUUAUGCGAGAUCUUUUUAACAUGAAACUAUGAGAGUUUCCUAGUCAUUUCUUUCUUCAUGCUUUCAUUAAGUUUUUUACUAUAUGAAAUCAGAGUAAAGACAAAAUACUGUAAACUCAUUGCUAAUAAUACAUAUUAUUUUUUCUUUGUCAGGAAAUUUUUGAUCCUUUCUGUGAUGUUACAUUGGAUAUUGUCUGUUGGAAGUAAGUUCUGUAUCAUUUGCAGGAAGUUGUUGUUCUUUCUGUUGCACUUUUUUCUGUUGUCAUUUUUCUGUCACUGAGAUUUUUUUUUUAUAGAGGAGACCUGAGUUCCAACAGUUGUUCUAAUUUAUAGGGUUUUGGGUUUUCCCCUCCCACUUUGUUUGAUAGAACAAUAUAAAGCUGGACCUUAAUUUCCAUUUUGUCUUGGAUCUUCAUUUCCAUUGCCUAAGAAUGUUGUGCUAUCCACUUCUCUCUCUCAUUGCAGAUUAUAGCAUCAUUGAAGCUGUUCUGACUUAACUGGGCCAUUAAUAAACAACAUUAAAACAGAAACUUGUUUAAUUAAAACUAGCUGGUUGAAGUAUCCUCUAAUUGUUUGACUCACAUUAAUUAUUGAACAGAACCUUAUGGCUCUUAUUAAAAACUUAUGUUUAUUUUAUUGUUAGGUGUCUAAUACUUUGGACUUCCCCAAUAUUCUAGUAAAACAAAUUAUUAAUGUGGAUUACAAAAAUCAUACAAAAUUUAUAUACUUUCCUAUGAGAAAAAGAGAUGAUAAAGUAUAUAAGAAAAUAUGUACAAAAAAAUGAUGAGUUAAAAAAAAUAACAGUAAAACUUGGUGGAUGAUGACUUGUCAACACCUAGUUAGACCUUAUAAUAGUACACAUUUUUUUGUAUUUUAAUUGUCUUAAUUAUAAAAAAAUUUUAAUUAAGAAAUAAAAUCUUUAUCAAAGAAGCACCACAUUCUCUCAACUUUUCUAUCUCACAAUUUAUAAAAAGGAAAACAAUUCUUCUAAUUUGAUUUUAACUAUUGAACACGGUUGCUAGAAAAUAUCAAAAAAUUUUCUAUCAUUAUACAACUCCAGAUAAUUAUUACUCAUGUUUAUCAAUGUUUAACAAAUUAAAAAAUAGGAAAUCAAAAAUUCAAAGGAAAUUUCACUACACUUUACAAAGCAGAAAUUUAGUCAGUAUAUAAUAAUCAUCAAAAGUGAAAAUAAUAACUUUAUUUUUGUUAAUAUUAAAUGAUCAGUACAUCAAAAAAUAAUUAGUACAUCAGUAAUUGAGAUAUUGGAGGACAGUCAUAUCUGUAUCACACAAAAUGCAUACCAAGCCAUCACCACCAAUGUUUUAUCUUUUAUAAUAAAUUAAUGCAUGCAUUAUUAGGUAUAAGAAACAAAAAAACAGCACAUUAUUCAAUAAUUAUUUUUACAUUUAAAAAACAAUGGAAAUUUAAUGUUAUGAAUUAUCUGUAAUGUGUACAUUAUUAUUGAAAAACUGUUCAGAUAAUUUCCAUAGUUUUUGAAAGUUUCGAAAUCUUAUAUAUUUGUAGUUAUCAAGGAAGGAUAUAUUUGAAUGAUAUUUGAGCUUUCGCAAUCAGUAACUGUGUCGCUCUUUCAUUGUUAGCCUGACUAUCGUUUUUAAAUAAAGAAAUAAUAGAAAUAACAGUUGGUGUAUUUUUAUUUUGCUGAUCUAAAAGCUAUGAGUGAAUAACAAGAUGACAUUCAAUUUUAUAUUUAUUAAAAAUAUAUCAAAACCUCAUUAGAUAUUAGAAUUAAUUACCUCUGUCUGAAAAUUUUAUGCAGUGGUGAAGCAAAUAAUGGGAAUAAAAAUAUUUGUGUAUCUAGAAAAACAUGACAAUUCUUUCAUUUCUAAUAUGGUGCCAAUUACAGAAAAGCAAUUUUUAUGCCUGAUAUUACAUAUCAUUUUUUAUCAUCAGAUAUAAGUCAAGUGAUUAUACAAGUACUUUGAUAAACAAAUUUGAAAAUAUUAAAC
rnacentral:lncRNA from 1 species